GUGUUUAUUUUACCUUGUUGCUUCGGCGGGCCCGCCUUAACUGGCCGCCGGGGGGCUUACGCCCCCGGGCCCGCGCCCGCCGAAGACACCCUCGAACUCUGUCUGAAGAUUGAAGUCUGAGUGAAAAUAUAAAUUAUUUAAAACUUUCAACAACGGAUCUCUUGGUUCCGGCAUCGAUGAAGAACGCAGCGAAAUGCGAUACGUAAUGUGAAUUGCAAAUUCAGUGAAUCAUCGAGUCUUUGAACGCACAUUGCGCCCCCUGGUAUUCCGGGGGGCAUGCCUGUCCGAGCGUCAUUGCUGCCCUCAAGCCCGGCUUGUGUGUUGGGCCCCGUCCCCCGAUCUCCGGGGGACGGGCCCGAAAGGCAGCGGCGGCACCGCGUCCGGUCCUCGAGCGUAUGGGGCUUUGUCACCCGCUCUGUAGGCCCGGCCGGCGCUUGCCGAUCAACCCAAAUUUUUAUCCAGGUUGACCUCGGAUCAGGUAGGGAUACCCGCUGAACUUAAGCAUAUCAU
rnacentral:rRNA from 1 species